rnacentral:RNase_P_RNA from 1 species
GAAGCAAGCCAGACAGCCGCUGGCCGGCGCAGCAAUGCGUUGGCGGGAGGAAGGUCCGGACUCCACAGAGCGGGGUGACGGUUAACGGCCGUCCGCUGAAAGCCUUCGGGUAUAAGGCGAGGAAUAGGGCCACAGAGACGAGCGUAUUAAGUUACGGUGAAACGCGGUAACCUCCACCUGGUGCAAUUUCAAAUAGGCACGCGAUGAUGUUGCUCGCGGAGCGUGCGGGUAGAAAGCUUGAGCGGCGGAGUAAUCCGUCGCCUAGAGGAAUGGCUGUCAUAGCGCCGGCUUGCCGGCGCCGUAACAGAAUCCGGCCUAUCGGCUUGCUUCAACU